rnacentral:rRNA from 1 species
AUUGAACGCUGGCGGCAUGCUUUACACAUGCAAGUCGAACGGCAGCGGGGAGGAGCUUGCUUCUCUGCCGGCGAGUGGCGAACGGGUGAGUAAUACAUUGGAACGUGUCGAGAAGAGGGGGAUAACCACCCGAAAGGGUGGCUAAUACCGCAUAAAUUCUGAGGAAGAAAGCUGGGGACCUAGGAAUAGGCCUAGCGCUUUUUGAGCGGCCGAUGUCGGAUUAGCUAGUUGGUGAGGUAAAGGCUCACCAAGGCGAAGAUCUGUAGCGGGUCUGAGAGGAUGAUCCGCCACACUGGGACUGAGACACGGCCCAGACUCCUACGGGAGGCAGCAGUGGGGAAUUUUGGACAAUGGGGGCAACCCUGAUCCAGCCAUGCCGCGUGUAUGAAGAAGGCCUUAGGGUUGUAAAGUACUUUUGUUAGGGAAGAAAAGUCAGCUGUGAAUAAUGGCUGAUACUGACGGUACCUAAAGAAUAAGCACCGGCUAACUACGUG